GGAGGAAUACCCAAGUGGUCUAAGGGAGCGGUUUGCUAAACCGUCACGCCGUAAGGCGUGCGUGGGUUCGAAUCCCACUUCCUCCGCCA
rnacentral:tRNA from 1 species